rnacentral:rRNA from 1 species
GUUGUAUGGUUAAGUGACUAAGCGUACAUGGUGGAUGCCUUGGCAGUCAGAGGCGAUGAAGGACGUACUAACCUGCGAUAAGCCGUGAGCAGUCGGUAAGAGACAUUACGACUCACGGAUUUCCGAAUGGGGAAACCCACUUAGCAUAAGCUAGGUAUCGCUGCGUGAAUACAUAGCGUAGCGAGGCGAACCGGGAGAACUGAAACAUCUAAGUACCCCGAGGAAAAGAAAUCAACCGAGAUUCCCUCAGUAGCGGCGAGCGAACGGGGAUUAGCCCUUAAGCAUCUUGGAAGUUAGUGGAACGGUCCUGGAAAGGCCGGCGAUACAGGGUGAUAGCCCCGUACACGAAAACAACCUUGAUGUGAAAUCGAGUAGGGCGGGACACGUGACAUCCUGUCUGAAUAUGGGGGGACCAUCCUCCAAGGCUAAAUACUCCUGACUGACCGAUAGUGAACCAGUACCGUGAGGGAAAGGCGAAAAGAACCCCUGUGAGGGGAGUGAAAUAGAACCUGAAACCGUGUACGUACAAGCAGUGGGAGCCCUUCGGGGUGACUGCGUACCUUUUGUAUAAUGGGUCAGCGACUUACAUUUUGUAGCGAGGUUAACCGUAUAGGGGAGCCGUAGGGAAACCGAGUCUUAACUGGGCGUCUAGUUGCAAGGUGUAGACCCGAAACCGGGUGAUCUAGCCAUGGGCAGGUUGAAGGUUGAGUAACAUCAACUGGAGGACCGAACCCACUAACGUUGCAAAGUUAGGGGAUGACCUGUGGCUGGGGGUGAAAGGCCAAUCAAACUCGGAGAUAGCUGGUUCUCCCCGAAAGCUAUUUAGGUAGCGCCUCGGACGAAUACUACUGGGGGUAGAGCACUGUUUGGGCUAGGGGGUCAUCCCGACUUACCAACCCCAUGCAAACUCCGAAUACCAGUAAGUAAUAUCCGGGAGACACACGGCGGGUGCUAACGUCCGUCGUGAAGAGGGAAACAACCCAGACCGCCGGCUAAGGUCCCAAAGUUCUGGUUAAGUGGGAAACGAUGUGGGAAGGCUCAGACAGCUAGGAUGUUGGCUUAGAAGCAGCCAUCAUUUAAAGAAAGCGUAAUAGCUCACUAGUCGAGUCGGCCUGCGCGGAAGAUGUAACGGGGCUCAAAC